rnacentral:rRNA from 1 species
CGGUGGAGCACGUGGUUUAAUUCGAUGCAAACCGAAGAACCUUACCUGGGUUUGACAUACAGGUGGUAGAGCGAAGAGAUUCAAUCGACUCUGCAGUAAUGCAGAGAGCCUGCACAGGUGCUGCAUGGCUGUCGUCAGCUCGUGUCGUGAGAUGUUGGUUAAGUCCCGCAACGAGCGCAACCCCUAUUGCCAGUUGCUAACAGGAGAGCUGAGCACUCUGGCGAGACUGCCGCCGACAAGGCGGAGGAAGGUGGGGAUGACGUCAAGUCAUCAUGGCCUUUAUGCCCAGGGCUACACACGUGCUACAAUGGCCGGCACAGACGGCAGCUUAGUGGCGACACUUGGCAAAUCCUCUAAAGCCGGUCCCAGUUCGGAUUGCAGUCUGCAACUCGACUGCAUGAAGCCGGAAUCGCUAGUAAUCGCAGAUCAGCCAAGCUGCGGUGAAUACGUUCCCGGGCCUU